UACGAAGGGAGCUAGCGUUGUUCGGAAUUACUGGGCGUAAAGGGCGCGUAGGCGGCUUUGUAAGUCAGAUGUGAAAUCCCCGGGCUUAACCUGGGAACUGCAUUUGAUACUGCAAAGCUAGAGGAUGAGAGAGGAAAGUGGAAUUAUGAGUGUAGAGGUGAAAUUCGUAGAUAUUCAUAAGAACAUCAGUGGCGAAGGCGGCUUUCUGGAUCAUAUCUGACGCUAAGGCGCGAAAGCGUGGGGAGCAAACAGG
rnacentral:rRNA from 1 species